GGGCCCGCACAAGCGGUGGAGCAUGUGGUUUAAUUCGAUGAUACGCGAGGAACCUUACCAGGGCUUAAAUGCAGAACGACAGAGGUGGAAACACCUCCUUCUUCGGACGGUCUGCAAGGUGCUGCAUGGUUGUCGUCAGCUCGUGCUGUGAAGUGUCGGGUUAAGUCCCAUAACGAGCGCAACCCCUAUUUCUAGUUGCCAGCGGUUCGGCCGGGGACUCUAGAGAAAACUGCCAGCGUAAGCUGUGAGGAAGGUGGGGAUGACGUCAAAUCAUCACGGCCCUUACGUCCUGGGCCACACACGUGCUACAAUGGUAAGGACAGACGGCCGCAAACCCGCGAGGGGAGCCAAA
rnacentral:rRNA from 1 species